AUUGACCGCUGGCGGCAGGCCUAACACAUGCAAGUCGAGCGAGCGGCGGACGGGUGAGUAAUGUCUGGGAAACUGCCUGAUGGAGGGGGAUAACUACUGGAAACGGUAGCUAAUACCGCAUACCAUCAGAUGUGCCCAGAUGGGAUUAGCUAGUAGGUGGGGUAAUGGCUCACCUAGGCGACGAUCCCUAGCUGGUCUGAGAGGAUGAACAGUCAAAGGGGAACGUAGACACGGUCCAGACUCCUACGGGAGGCAGCAGUGGGGAAUAUUGAACAAUGGGCGCAAGCCUGAUGCAGCCAUGCCGCGUGUAUGAAGAAGGCCUUCGGAUUGUAAAGUACUUUCAGCGAGGAGGCGUUACUCGCAGAAGAAGCACCGGCUAACUCCGUGCCAGCAGCCGCGGUAAUAC
rnacentral:rRNA from 1 species